UGUUUCUUGGUGUGUGCAGAGAGGUGCAGACACUUCCUCCUUUUGUGGAACUCCCAGAUGGUCAAAACUCCUGAGACUUGGCACUGACACAGUCAAAGGUGCACACUGGAUUUGGAAUGCCCAGGCUCAGUGGUUGGUUAAAAAUCCCAGCCAUGAUAUAUAAUAAAUGACAGAUGUUAUAGAUACUCCUGGGUGCAAUGAGGAAGGUCACAGAAAUUUGCUUCUAAAAAUCAAUUUUAAUUUCUCUUUUCCUGCUGACAGCUUGGUGCUAAGGGUGGGCCUCCAUUUGAUGUGAGCCCUGCAAGCUGCUGCAGGCUACCAGUGAUUGGAAUUUACUUGGAUUAGUCUAAUUGCUGCCUCUGCCAUCAUCUGUUUGCAAUCACAAAGAGGAAGCUUCUGAAGCUUGGGAAUGAGAGAAAAUGAAGUGUCCUGACAACCACAAAACAGCAAGAAAGCUUUUGGAGGUUUUCCCAUCACUGUUUGAAUAAAUUCAGAGACAAGGCCUCACUAAUGCUCCUUAGCAACUUCAGCUCAAGUCCAAAACCAAAUGAUGCCCCUGGGGAUUUAAUGUGUUCUUAGAGUGAAAUAUCUGCCCCACUGCAGAUACUGCCCUUAGCUCCAUCACAGCCUCCUUAUUGUUUAAAAGCUGGCCUCUGAAGACAGCAUCAGUGAGGAACAGUGGGAGAUAACAACACAAACCAGAGGAAGGAAAAAGAGAUCCUAAGAGCUGUCAGAACAGCAGCAGCAGUUGGCCUAGAGGGGAAGCUGCCCUCCAGCCACAAUCCCACCCCAUGGCUGAUCCAGAGGGAAUCAGGCACGUGGUGACCUCCAGAGAUGGCAGCCAGCAGCAAACCCACGGGACCUGCAGUGACACAGCACAGCAAAAGCUGUAAAGUGACACUGCACAGGAGUCAGAAGAUCAUCCAUGGACUCCACUCAGAUUUCUGGAGGCAGGGCUGGCACGUUGGAUUGCAACAUUGCUGAAAGGAAAAGCAUGAACGCUGCAGGAAUUUCUGCUCCAUGGAAAAAUGUUAUUUUUGGAUUCUUCAGGAAGGCGUGCACAUAAAACCACCGGUUCCCUGCUUGGUGGUCAUGGAGUCACCUGUGUCCCCCGUGUCCCUCUGGUUGCCCUCUGAGCUCAGGCUGCAUCUUUAUGGGAAGAAGGUGUCCAAGAAAGUGACAACAGCCAGGAGAAAGCAAGACGGAGACUUGGCAGCUGAAAUUUUGA